GUUGGCAUUAGUAAUCAUUGCACAUUUUUAUAAUUUUAUUGUCGUGGUGUCAGCUAUGAGGCCGGGCAUGUCCGGUCUAGAGGGAGCCAGUGACUGUUAUCUUGGAGUGCAGAUCAGGCAUGUGUAGUUUUGUGUGUGUGUGUGUGUGUGUGUGUUUUUCAGGGUAUUGACCUAAAAGGCGAGGUUUUGGGUGUAUGGUAUGAGGUCUGUUGUGUCCCCCUAUUUGGUCUGUCUGUCGAGUCCCCAGUAUGGGAGUGAGAGCUGUCAUUGCAGACGUGAGUUGUCUCCGGCUGGUGCACAUCCCCUAUUGAGGGCUACCCCCAACCCCUUGUGUGAGUAUGUCAGUCUAUGUGUAUAAG